UAAUUUAUACUUUGGUACAAGUUGGAAGCCGGCUACAUAAAGUUGCGGCAGACGACGUGUCGUCGCGACAUUACUGGUUUCUAUACAGUAUCU